AUUGAACGCUGGUGGCAGGCCUAACACAUGCAAGUCGAACGAGUGGCGGACGGGUGAGUAAUGUCUGGGAAACUGCCUGAUGGAGGGUGAUAACUACUGGAAACGGUAGCUAAUACCGCAUACCAUCGGAUGUUCCCAUAUGGGCUUAGCUAGUGGGUGGGGUAAAGGCUCACCUAGGCGACGAUCCCUAGCUGGUCUGAGAGGAUGACCAGCAACACUGGAACUGAGACACGGUCCAGACUCCUACGGGAUGCAGCAGUGGGGAAUAUUGCACAAGGGGCGCAGUCCUGAGGCAGCCAUGCCGCGUGUAUGAAGAAGGCCGUAGGGUUGUAAAGUACUUUCAGCGGGGAGGCGUUAACCGCAGAAGAAGCACCGGCUAACUCCGUGCCAGCAGCCGCGGUAAUUC
rnacentral:rRNA from 1 species